rnacentral:rRNA from 1 species
UGCUUGGGAAUAUGCCUUAGGGUGGGGGACAACAGUUGGAAACGACUGCUAAUACCGCAUAACGUCUACGGACCAAAGGGGGCUUCGGCUCUCGCCCUUAGAUUAGCCCAAGUGGGAUUAGCUAGUUGGUGAGGUAAUGGCUCACCAAGGCGACGAUCCCUAGCUGGUUUGAGAGGAUGAUCAGCCACACUGGAACUGAGACACGGUCCAGACUCCUACGGGAGGCAGCAGUGGGGAAUAUUGCACAAUGGGCGCAAGCCUGAUGCAGCCAUGCCGCGUGUGUGAAGAAGGCCUUAGGGUUGUAAAGCACUUUCAGUAAGGAGGAAAGGUUAGUAGUUAAUACCUGCUAGCUGUGACGUUACUUACAGAAGAAGCACCGGCUAACUCCGUGCCAGCAGCCGCGGUAAUACGGAGGGUGCGAGCGUUAAUCGGAAUUACUGGGCGUAAAGCGUACGCAGGCGGUUUGUUAAGCGAGAUGUGAAAGCCCCGGGCUCAACCUGG